GGCGAAAUGGCCGAGUGGUCUAAGGCGCUAGAAUCAGGUUAUUUCCUAAUCUAGUCUUUCGGGGCGUGGGUUCGAAUCCCACUUUCGUCA